UUGCAUGUAGCUCAGUGGUAGAGUGCUUGCCUAGCAUUGUGCAAGACCCUGGGUUCAACUGUGCAUGUAUG
rnacentral:tRNA from 1 species